CUACGGGCCGCUGCAGUGGGGAAUAUUGCACAAUGGGCGAAAGCCUGAUGCAGCAACGCCGCGUGAGUGAUGAAGGCCUUCGGGUCGUAAAACUCUGUCCUCAAGGAAGAUAAUGACGGUACUUGAGGAGGAAGCCCCGGCUAACUACGUGCCAGCAGCCGCGGUAAUACGUAGGGGGCUAGCGUUAUCCGGAUUUACUGGGCGUAAAGGGUGCGUAGGUGGUUUCUUAAGUCAGGAGUGAAAGGCUACGGCUUAACCGUAGUAAGCUCUUGAAACUGGGGAACUUGAGUGCAGGAGAGGAAAGUGGAAUUCCUAGUGUAGCGGUGAAAUGCGUAGAUAUUAGGAGGAACACCAGUAGCGAAGGCGGCUUUCUGGACUGUAACUGACACUGAGGCACGAAAGCGUGGGGAGUAAACAGGAUUAGAUACCCCCGUAGUC
rnacentral:rRNA from 1 species